rnacentral:rRNA from 1 species
GAUGAACGCUGGCGGCGUGCCUAAUACAUGCAAGUCGAGCGAACAGACGAGGAGCUUGCUCCUCUGACGUUAGCGGCGGACGGGUGAGUAACACGUGGAUAACCUACCUAUAAGACUGGGAUAACUUCGGGAAACCGGAGCUAAUACCGGAUAAUAUAUUGAACCGCAUGGUUCAAUAGCGAAAGACGGUUUUGCUGUCACUUAUAGAUGGAUCCGCGCCGCAUUAGCUAGUUGGUAAGGUAACGGCUUACCAAGGCAACGAUGCGUAGCCGACCUGAGAGGGUGAUCGGCCACACUGGAACUGAGACACGGUCCAGACUCCUACGGGAGGCAGCAGUAGGGAAUCUUCCGCAAUGGGCGAAAGCCUGACGGAGCAACGCCGCGUGAGUGAUGAAGGUCUUCGGAUCGUAAAACUCUGUUAUUAGGGAAGAACAAAUGUGUAAGUAACUAUACACGUCUUGACGGUACCUAAUCAGAAAGCCACGGCUAACUACGUG